rnacentral:rRNA from 1 species
AACGAACGCUGGCGGCAUGCCUAACACAUGCAAGUCGAACGAAACCUUCGGGUCUAGUGGCGCACGGCUGCGUAACGCGUGGGAACCUGCAUUUAGGUUCGGACUAACUCAGAGAAAUUUGAGCUAAUACCGGAUGAUGUCUUCGGACCAAAGAUUUAUCGCCUUUAGAUGGGCCCGCGUUGGAUUCGCUUGUUGGUGGGGUAAUGGCCUACCAAGGCGACGAUCCAUAGCCGGUCUGAGAGGAUGAUCAGCGACACUGGGACUGAGACACGGCCCAGACUCCUACGGGAGGGAGGAGUGGGGAAUAUUGGACAAUGGGCGAAAGCCUGAUCCAGCAAUGCCGCGUGAGUGAUGAAGGCCUUAGGGUUGUAAAGCGCUUUUACCCGAGAUGAUAAUGACGGUAACGGGAGAAUAAGCUCCGGCUAACUCCGUG